UGGGGAAUAUUGGGCAAUGGACGCAAGUCUGACCCAGCAACGCCGCGUGAAGGAAGAAGGCUUUCGGGUUGUAAACUUCUUUGACAGGGGAAGAGCAGAAGACGGUACCCUGAAAACAAGCCACGGCUAACUACGUGCCAGCAGCCGCGGUAAUACGUAGGUGGCAAGCGUUGUCCGGAUUUACUGGGUGUAAAGGGCGUGCAGCCGGGCCGACAAGUCAGAUGUGAAAUCCCGAGGCUUAACCUCGGAACUGCAUUUGAAACUGUUGGUCUUGAGUGAUGGAGAGGCAGGCGGAAUUCCCGGUGUAGCGGUGGAAUGCGUAGAUAUCGGGAGGAACACCAGUGGCGAAGGCGGCCUGCUGGACAUUAACUGACGCUGAGGAGCGAAAGCGUGGGGAG
rnacentral:rRNA from 1 species